AUCGGGCUACUGUGACUGACGGUAUGCAACGGUCCUUCAAGUGUCGUGACAGAAUAGGAGCCCCAACGCUUAAGCACAAAAGCUUACAUUAUAGUCUUCGCUACCCUACGGAAGUUUUGUAAGGGGGCACGCUAGGGUUCAAGUUCUCAUAUUUAUGCUCAAAGUUCUAAAGAUGGAGUAAGACAGGAAGUCUACAGGUGGCAUUUCUAUAAAUUUUCUUAGCGUUAGAUGCAACUUGUACAAAAUGUUUUAACUAUAAUAUAU